AAGUCGUAACAAGGUCUCCGUAGGUGAACCUGCGGAGGGAUCAUUAACACGUAUCCAAUACGUCACUCUUCAAACCCCAAAACGUGAACCAAAUAUCCCCACUCGGAUUUAGCGAUGGGCUGUAGACCAUGGGUGAUAGGCUGCCUCGGCAGUCUGUUUACAGCUCUACGUAUCCAGCCACACUCUCUUCGGAGGGCGUGCGAUUCUGAGAUGCAGUCGGUCUGUUGUGGUUGUAUCCCUAGUCACCUGGCUUUUAGGCCACCCCUGUUUCGACCAGGAGCCUCUAAGCCUUAGUACUCCCAAUUUUUAACCCCUUUUUGAAAAACAACUGAUUUUAUGCUCUUUUCUCUUUGAGAUAGAACAUAUACGAAAUUGCGAACAACUCUUAGCAACGGAUAUCUUGGUUCUC
rnacentral:misc_RNA from 1 species